GACGAACGCUGGCGGCGUGCUUAACACAUGCAAGUCGAACGGUGACGAGGAGCUUGCUCCUCCGAUCAGUGGCGAACGGGUGAGUAACACGUGAGUAACCUGCCCCAGACUCUGGGAUAACAGUUGGAAACAGCUGCUAAUACCGGAUACGAGACGGAGAGGCAUCUCUACCGUCUGGAAAGUUUUUCGGUCUGGGAUGGACUCGCGGCCUAUCAGCUUGUGGUGAGGUAAUGGCUCGACCAAGGCGACGACGGGUAGCCGGCCUGAGAGGGCGACCGGCCACACUGGGACUGAGACACGGCCCAGACUCCUACGGGAGGCAGCAGUGGGGAAUAUUGCACAAUGGGCGAAAGCCUGAUGCAGCGACGCCGCGUGAGGGAUGACGGCCUCGGUUGUAACGUCUUCUAGCAGGAGAAGACGAAAGUGGCGGUAACGUGGCAGAAGGAAGACGACGGCGUAACUAACGUGCACGCAGCCGCGGAAACCGUAGACGU
rnacentral:rRNA from 1 species